rnacentral:rRNA from 1 species
ACAAGCGGUGGAGCAUGUGGUUAAUUCGAAGCAACGCGAAGAACCUUACCAGGCCUUGACAUGCAGAGAACUUCAGAGAUGGAUUGGUGCCUUCGGGAACUCUGACACAGGUGCUGCAUGGCUAUCGUCAGCUCGUGUCGUGAGAUGUUGGGUUAAGUCCCGUAACGAGCGCAACCCUUGUCCUUAGUUACCAGCACGUUAUGGUGGGCACUCUAAGGAGACUGCCGGUGACAAACCGGAGGAAGGUGGGGAUGACGUCAAGUCAUCAUGGCCCUUACGGCCUGGGCUACACACGUGCUACAAUGGUCGGUACAAAGGGUUGCCAAGCCGCGAGGUGGAGCUAAUCCCAUAAAACCGAUCGUAGUCCGGAUCGCAGUCUGCAACUCGACUGCGUGAAGUCGGAAUCGCUAGUAAUCGUGAAUCAGAAUGUCACGGUGAAUACGUUCCCGGGCCUU